GUAGCCAAGUCUGGGAGCAGGACCAAGAGAGAAACACCGAGAGAGAGUGAGAGAGAGUGAGAGAGAGAGAGAGAGAGGUAAACAGCCACAGCAAGACUGCGCUGGAAAGCAUAAACCAGGACAAUUCUCCCUUUCCUCUCUCUCUCGUGAGCCAUGCGUGCAUCUGUGUGUGAGCACCCGCGCUGGUGACGCUGGAGAGUUGCUGUGCGUGGUGUGUGGGAGUGCUCACUCCUGACAGGAGUUGUGGGGGGAAUCUGUCCACAGCGCUUGAGCUUGGGAUCGGAGAUCUGUGCUCUGUGGAAGCCCUUCUUUCAGCUUGCUACUGAGUGUGUGAAUGUGUGUGUACGUGUGUGUGUUUUUCUGUUCGAGCUUGAUCGGCUUCCUGCACACGCUUGACAAUGAGAUUAGACCUGCGCAGUGAUUUUUCCGACGGAGUUUUCUCAUCGUGCCAGAGCUGAUCUCUCGCGUGCUGCUGAGCUGCACCUGGAGCGUGCACACCUGGCUGUGAGCCUUCCAAGUGAACGAGCCAAGUGGAUGACAACAACUCCAAACCAAAAACACAAACAUUUAAAGUCUUUACCUCUUUACCAAAGGAUAUUUUUCUGAUUUUUGAUUCCUGCCAAAAACAAACAAGAUUUCUCCACUGAACUGUGGGGAGAAAACUCUAGAUUGCAACUGGAGAAAACAAGACACCAACUAACUACAUGAGAGGUUUAGAGGACAGAGAGGCUUAUCACUGACCUUCCACCUUCAGCCGUGAUCCAAACAAAUUACUAUUUCCCUGCCCUCCCACCUUCUCUUCAUCUGCUGACUUUCAGGAGGCGUCCUGAUGAGAGGAUGCAGCAGAGAACCAGCGUGAGACCAAGCCCUACGUGAACAGUGCCCCCCCUCCCUCCUCCUCCCCUCCUUCCUUCACCUCUCACUCAUCCGUCCAGCUCACGUAGC